CAGAUACAUAGCUGAGCUAUUUUAUGUUAUUUUUCUCUCUUAAUGAAUACCAUACACAUGACUGUUGAAUGUGCAUGGUACUAGCAAUGAGUAAUUAAGUCUUGUGGGAAGGAAAGUUCGGGUGGAGGUAGAGUAAAUAGAUCUGGCACAGAAACAAUGCUGUCUGGUUUCAGGAGAGCUUUCUUUUGAGUGGCAGUGUGGCGUGGUUGCCUGGAGUUAAAUCUCCUCCACUCUGGUCUCAGUGUUAUCAUGCACCAACUAAUCUUGCAGAUGCAACUCCUGCUGCUCCUAGUCUCAAUUGUCUUAACCUGCCAAAUUGAGACAAUAUUUUCUGCCUGCCUCAUAGGAUGAUAAAAAACUGGCAACUGUGAUAAAAAGGUGUUUGAAGAAAAUGAGAAUGAGAGAUAUUUCCUCAAUAGAUGAAACUAUUGGCCCCAGCUCCAAAUUCACACUUGUUGCAGCAGUUAAUUCUGCAAAAUCACAGAAGGAAAAAAAGUCAGGCCAAGUUACAGUAGUUUCCAGACAGCCACUUCUGUUCCUGUUCCAAAAACUAUGACUAACAUUUGUCUGUCUGGAUGGUAUCAUUAAAUGAAAGGACUAAUAGUCUCUAUGAUGCCACCUGAAUUUCUUAUCGUUGUUUAUUUGUUCUCUCAUGAAACAUGCAUCAUAUAUUUACCACAUGCUGAUUAUGUAGAAGAUAAAAAGAUGAAAAAGAGAACCCCAGAAUGAAUUUUCCCUCUCAGGAUGGUAUGACAUUAAACAAAACUAAUCACAAUGCAAAAGAGUAAGUGCAGUACUCAGCUUUCAAGAUGACCCUCAACGAUUGCCCCCUGGUUUUUACCCCUUUGUGUAGUCCCCUCCUGUGCUGAAUUGUGGCUGCCUGUGUUACCAAUAAAAUACCAACAAAAUGACAGGGAGUGACUUCUGAGAUUUAGUCAUAAAAAAUAUUCUAGGUUCUGCCUUGCUCUUUCUUGAAUCACCUGCUCUGGAGGAAGCCAGUUGCAUGGGAAGACAUCCAAGCAGCCAUGGGUUGUGUAGAGAGAAACUGAGGCCUGCCAUCAGUAGCCAGCAUCAGCCUGCCAGCCAUGCAAGGAGCCAGUGUGGAAGCCAAUAUUCCAGAGCCAGUCAAGCUGACUUCUUGACUGAAACUCCAGGAGAGACCCUGAAACAGAAGGACAAAACCACUCCUGAGUUCCUGACUGAUAGAAACUGGUAUAAAAUGGAAAGCAAUUGAGACUUUGUAAUCGAGGAAGUAACAAGUUCAGAGCUGCAUUGGGAGAUGACUGCAAUGACUGUAUAAGAUAAGGAUGAAUACCGAGGGUGUAUAACAAGAUCAGCGAGAAGAGGAUUGCCAUUGUUCCACCUGGACCAGAGCCUAGCGGGAGAAAAACAAGCAGGGCCAGGGUGCAACAGCGGCUGGACAGGGAGAAAGCAGCAGUCAAGGAGCAUUCAGGGCACAAGGACUGUCCGUAAGUGGAAGCAUCUACUGAGGCUUAGACGAAUAUAACCAUGAAUAUCAAUAAGAUCCUUGAUCCUUCUCAGCAUAGGAAACAUCAUUCUGGAUUAUCAGCCCUGGGAAAGAAUUUAUAACUAAGUCCUCAAAAGCAAUUGCAACAAAAACAAAAAUUGACAAGUGGGACCUAAUUAAACUAAAGAGCUUCUGCACAGCAAAAGGAGCUAUCAACAGAAUAAACAGUCUACAGGAUGGGAGAAAAUAUUUGCAAACAAUGCAUCUGACAAAGGUCUAACAUCCAGAAUCUAUAAGGAACUUGACAAGAAUAAACAAAUAGCCCCAUGAAAAAGUGGACAAAAGACAUGAACAGACACUUCUUCAAGGAAAAGACAUACAAGUGAUCAAGCUUGCUAUUUUUUAUAGUUCAUGCUCCAAACGGAGAACAGACCCAUUAGUGUGAUAUAAAGUACAUCUUCUUUGUGCUUAGUUCUAUGCUUUGAUCAAGGCAGCCUGUUAGUGACUAUUCUUGACUCCCAUUAUGCUUACAUAAGGCAACUCACAUGUGUAAGGCAACUGUCUUUCUCUUUUUUUGAAGUACUGGACAACACUCCUGGGUGACAUCUCUAAUCCUUUACUCACAUGAUGAAAAUUGAGAGAUAUAAAGGAUCAUAGAUACUAAGUAGUCCAAAGGUAGCAAACUAGCCCACAAACCCAGUUGAUUUGGUAUACACAGAUUUGGCAAGCGUGAUGUCUUAAAGACAAAUUGAAGCCCAUUUUCAAGAGCUGCAUACAUUGGCACCCUUAGCAGGGCAGUAAGACUUGUGAUCCUGAAUGACCACAAUCACCCGGAGCUGUCUCUGCUAUCUAUUUAGACCAAGCAUGCUUGUUCCAGGUGCUCACAACUGACCCCCUUCACUGACUUCCAUUACCUGCCUGCUCCCUGAAUGAGUUAGCAGAUCCACAGCGGUUUCAAGGAUAUGCAUCUGAUUUCCCUCUACCUCCUCAACUUUUCUCUCAUUCGCAGCCUGCCUUCACUUCUAGUUUCACUUACCUACCUAAAGGCGCUCUACAAGAUCGCUGAAACUCCAUCUAUAAGUGCCGAUGACUCUACAUUUGGCCAUUCUCUCAAACUCCAGAAUAGUCCUUCCAGUUGUCCCUCUUUCCCCAGCCAUUUCUGUGCUUGUCUUUUCUGUGUGUGUGUCUACCUUUCCACAUUCGUGUCUUACCCAGCUCAUCCAGAACAGUUCCUCUGGUUUCUGCUCUGUCCUGCCAUCUGUGUCUGGACUUUGCUUUGUAUAUCUUCUCCUUCGUUGUCCAGAAUGAUCUAGUUUUGCCUCUGCCCUCGUCAUUUCUGUGAUUGUAGCUGUGCUCUGUAUUUUCUCCCUUACAGGACAGAAGUUCCAACUUCCUUCUAUUUUCCUCCAUAUCGCUCACACCCUCUUUCAAUACUGGCUCCUGUUUCUGUUCUCUAACCCACUGGUUUUCAAGUGAGGUUCCCAGACCAGCAUUAGCACCAGCUGGAAACUUGUUAAAACUACAAAUCCUUGAGCCCCACCCCAGACUUACUGAAUCGGAAACUCUAGGGAUGGGGCUAAGCCAUCUCAAUAUGAUAAGCCUCCCCAACGAUUUUGAUUCCUGAGUUUGAGAAUCACUGCGCUCCACCCCAGCAGUUCUCAGCUUUCCUUGACAUCUGAAUCUCCUGAGAAGGUUUUUAAAAUACUCAUGUCUGGGCACCACCCAAAAACAAUUAACUCAAUUUCUCUGGGGGUGGGCCCAAUUAGGGAUAUAGUUGUAGAAGCUCUGCAGGUAAUUCUAAUGUAGAAUCAGGGUUGCUUCUCGCCUGCCAAAAUGUUUCCUUUUUGCAGCCUUGACUUGAUCCCUCUGUCUGUAAAGCUCUGCCUCCGCUCCACAGGUCUUGUUUUCUCUUCAUUGCCAUCAACUAAGAAAAGCCUUCCCUGGCCAUCUUAACUCUAAGCAUCCUCCCCCCGCCAGACACUUUCUGUCACUUUAUCCUGUAUUAUUGUCUUACUUGUACUAAUCUCUAAUAUUUGAAAAAUCAUUCAUUUACUUACUGGCUCUACUAGAAAAUGAACUGCAGGGGACCAAUGACUGUUCCUUUCAAGGCUGCAUCCUAGCUCCCUAGAACAAUGCCAGCACAUGUAGCAGCUCGGGAUAUAUUUGUUGCAUGAAAGAACAAACAACACACACACAAACACCCCAACACCACAUGCUGUUUAUUCCAAACCCUGUGCUUUCAAUGCUCUAGUUUUCUUUGCCUAAAAUUUUGUUCUUUUCUUUGCAUUAUCUUUUAUUUUAUAAUUAGCAGCAUUCCCAAAAAGGUCUAGAACAUUUGCUUCAAUUCUUUAUCCACAAUAAAUUCUUCGUUUCCUAACAUCAUGUAUGAUGUUGUAACUAUUUAAUGUUUCACUUCUUUAAAAAAUGUGCAGUGGAUACUCACCUCAGACGUGAGUGGCAGAAGCACAUAGACCAAGCUUUAGGUCUCUUUCUGUUCGCUUCGUGGUGUGGAUGAAAUGUGCUGCUGGGGACACGGGGGUAGAUACUUUCUGAAGUGAAUUGACUUGAGGAAAGGAAAAAAGCUUUCAGUCAAUAGUUUUAAAUGCCAAGGGACCAUUGAAGAGAGAGCAAGAAUAAAAACAGAUACAGGAAAGAGCAUAUCGUUCAAUAGAGAGAUUGAAUCUUUAAAAAAAAAAAACAAGGGCUGGGGUGUCUAAUGCAUGUCCAUGUAUUGGGAAUACCUUGGUGGCUGCUAUUUCCAGUUGGUCCCUCUUACUAUGCCAGCACUUUUGAAAACCUAGGUCUGGACAGAAAUUCACCUGUAGCCCUUAGCCAUCCCUUCCCUUUCUCUCUUAAACUGUAUAGAAGACUGAAACUAGCAUUCACA
rnacentral:lncRNA from 10 species